rnacentral:rRNA from 1 species
GCUGAAACACUGGUUCCAUAUGAUCACCAAAGUUAAGCAACAUCAAGCCUGAUCAGUACCUGGAUGGGUGACUGUUUUGGAAUACCAUGUG